GGGCCGGUGGUGGAAUUGGUAGACACGCUAGAUUUAGGUUCUAGUGCCGCGAGGUGUGAAGGUUCAAGUCCUUUCCGGCCUACCA
rnacentral:tRNA from 3 species